rnacentral:misc_RNA from 1 species
GAUGAAGAACGCAGCGAAAUGCGAUAAGUAAUGUGAAUUGCAGAAUUCAGUGAAUCAUCGAAUCUUUGAACGCACAUUGCGCCCUUUGGCAUUCCGAAGGGCACACCUGUCCGAGCGCCGUCGCACAACUGAGGCGCAGCCUUGCGUUGGCGGGCGACUUGUGAGUAGCGAGUCGCCGCCCAAACGAGACGGCGCCGCGCCGCGGCCGACGAAGCACGAAAGCGGAAGUCGACGCGGAGGCGGUUGCCUGUAGGAAGACACAGCUUGGCCUCGGAUCAGGUGGGGAUACCCGCUGAACUUAAGCAUAUCAUAAGCGGAGGA